GACGAACGCUGGCGGCGUGCUUAACACAUGCAAGUCGAACGGAAAGGCCCUGCUUGCAGGGUACUCGAGUGGCGAACGGGUGAGUAACACGUGGGUUAUCUGCCCUGCACUUCGGGAUAAGCCUGGGAAACUGGGUCUAAUACCGGAUAGGAGCCAUUUUUAGUGUGAUGGUUGGAAAGUUUUUUCGGUGUAGGAUGAGCUCGCGGCCUAUCAGCUUGUUGGUGGGGUAAUGGCCUACCAAGGCGGCGACGGGUAGCCGGCCUGAGAGGGUGGACGGCCACAUUGGGACUGAGAUACGGCCCAGACUCCUACGGGAGGCAGCAGGGGGGAAUAUUGCACAAUGGGCGCAAGCCUGAUGCAGCGACGCCGCGUGGGGGAUGACGGCCUUCGGGUUGUAAACUCCUUUCGCUAGGGACGAAGCUUUUUGUGACGGUACCUAGAUAAGAAGCACCGGCUAACUACGUG
rnacentral:rRNA from 1 species